GCCGAGUCCCAGGAACAUGCCGAGUCCCAGGAACAUGCCGAGUCAUAGGAUCAUGCCGAGUCCCAGGAACAUGCCGAGUUCCAAGAAAACAAAGAGCCUAUAACUGUUACCUCAGCAAAGAGUAAAAUGUGAAAUUGGCAAUAACAGACCCAAAGAUUCUAUGAGAAACAUUGAAGGAUUCUGUUAACAGUGAUAAUGACCAAAAAAUCAAAGACUGAGGCAAGGAAAGAUUCGUACAGUUUCUUGGAAGAUAAGUUGGAUAUAUUGAGAAAGUUGUCGCUACACGCUUAGUACCUGAAGACUGGUGCCAAAAACUUCAAUGAAGGGAAAACCAUUGGAGAAAUCACCUGUGUGGCUUCGAAAAAAGACUUAAAAUGACUUAAAAAAGAUUUUUAUACUGUGGUUUUUGCCUUUGUCGUGCCAGCCUUUCAUAUGUCUUUAUGUUUUGAGUGUUUAUGUUGCAUAUAUCUCUAGAAGUAUUUACAGUCAUGAUACUUUACAUGAGUGUUAGUAACCUUGGGUUUUGCUUUUUCUUUCUUUCUGU